rnacentral:rRNA from 1 species
CGGAAUUACUGGGCGUAAAGCGCUCGUAGGCGGUUCGGUAAGUCGGGUGUGAAACCUCCAGGCUCAACCUGGUGACGCCACCCGAUACUGCCGUGACUUGAGUUCGGUAGGGGAGCGGGGAAUUCCUGGUGUAGCGGUGAAAUGCGCAGAUAUCAGGAGGAACACCGGUGGCGAAGGCGCCGCUCUGGGCCGAAACUGACGCUGAGGAGCGAAAGCGUGGGGAGCGAACA